rnacentral:rRNA from 1 species
UACGGGGGGGGCAAGCGUUGUUCGGAAUUACUGGGCGUAAAGGGCUCGUAGGCGGCCAACUAAGUCAUACGUGAAAUCCCUCGGCUUAACCGGGGAACUGCGUCUGAUACUGGAUGGCUUGAGUUCGGGAGAGGGAUGCGGAAUUCCAGGUGUAGCGGUGAAAUGCGUAGAUAUCUGGAGGAACACCGGUGGCGAAGGCGGCAUCCUGGACCGGCAUUGACGCUGAGGAGCGAAAGCCAGGGGAGCAAACGGGG